rnacentral:rRNA from 1 species
UACGUAGGUGGCAAGCGUUGUUCGGAAUUACUGGGCGUAAAGGGCUCGUAGACGGCCAACUAAGUCAGACGUGAACUCCCUCGGCUUAACCGGGGAACUGCGUCUGAUACUGGAUGGCUUGAGUUUGGGAGAGGGAUGCGGAAUUCCAGGUGUAGCGGUGAAAUGCGUAGAUAUCUGGAGGAACACCGGUGGCGAAGGCGGCAUCCUGGACCAAUACUGACGCUGAGGAGCGAAAGCCAGGGGAGCAAACGGG